rnacentral:rRNA from 1 species
UUUUACGGCCACACCACCCUGAACACGCCCGAUCUCAUUUGAUCUUGGCAGCUGUGCAGGGUCGGGCCUGGUUAGUGCGUGAACGGGAGAACGGCACAUACUGGAGCUCGAGUGAAGCAAGGAGACCUCAAAGA